UAAGGCGUAGGAACCUGCCGCGGAGUGGGGGAGUAACGCUGGGAAACCGGCGCUAAUACCGCAUGUGGCCUUUCCGGGAGACUGGAAAGAAGAAAGCACAUUGUGCGCUCUGCGAGGGGCCUGCGUCCGAUUAGCUUGUUGGUGGGGUAACGGCCUACCAAGGCAUCGAUCGGUAGCUGGUCUGAGAGGAUGGUCAGCCACACUGGGACUGAGACACGGCCCAG
rnacentral:rRNA from 1 species